UGGGGAAUUUUGCGCAAUGGAGGCAACUCUGACGCAGCAACGCCGCGUGCGGGAUGAAGGCCCUCGGGUUGUAAACCGCUUUCAGCAGGGAAGACUUCGACUGUACCUGCAGAAGAAGCCCCGGCUAACUACGUGCCAGCAGCCGCGGUAAUACGUAGGGGGCGAGCGUUAUCCGGAUUCAUUGGGCGUAAAGCGCGCGUAGGCGGCUCGCCAAGCGGGAUCUCAAACCUGAGGGCUCAACCCCCAGCAGGAUCCCGGACCUGGCGGGCUCGAGUUCGGUAGGGGAAGGCGGAACUCCCAGUGUAGCGGUGAAAUGCGCAGAUAUUGGGAGGAACACCGAUGGCGAAGGCAGCCUUCUGGGCCGUAACUGACGCUGAGGUGCGAAAGCUAGGGGAGCGAACAGGAUUAGAUACC
rnacentral:rRNA from 1 species